CGAACGCUGGCGGCGUGCUUAACACAUGCAAGUCGAACGCGAAAGGGACUUCGGUCCUGAGUAAAGUGGCGCACGGGUGAGUAACGCGUAGAUAACCUGUCUUCAUGUCUGGAAUAAUACGCCGAAAGGGGUACUAAUACCGGAUAUUCUUGCUUUUCAUAAGUUAUGCAAGCAAAGGUGGCCUCUGCAUAUGCUACUGCAUGAAGAGGGGUCUGCGUACCAUUAGCUAGUAGGUGGGGUAAUGGCCUACCUAGGCGACGAUGGUUAGCGGGUCUGAGAGGAUGAUCCGCCACACUGGCACUGGAACACGGGCCAGACUCCUACGGGAGGCAGCAGUGAGGAAUAUUGCGCAAUGGGGGAAACCCUGACGCAGCGACGCCGCGUGAGUGAAGGAAGGCCUUCGGGUCGUAAAGCUCUGUCAAGAGGAAAGAAGUGUACAAUGGCUAAUACCUGUUGUAUUUGACGGUACCUCUAAAGGAAGCACCGGCUAACUCCGUGCCAGCCGCUGC
rnacentral:rRNA from 1 species